rnacentral:rRNA from 1 species
GAGUUUGAUCAUGGCUCAGAUUGAACGCUGGCGGAAUGCUUUACACAUGCAAGUCGAGCGGCAGCGCGGGGCAACCUGGCGGCGAGCGGCGAACGGGUGAGUAAUGCAUCGGAACGUGUCCAUGUCGUGGGGGAUAGCCCGGCGAAAGCCGGAUUAAUACCGCAUACGCCCGAGAGGGGGAAAGUGGGGGACCGCAAGGCCUCACGCGAUUGGAUCGGCCGAUGUCCGAUUAGCUAGUUGGCGGGGUAAAGGCCCACCAAGGCGAUGAUCGGUAGCUGGUCUGAGAGGAUGAUCAGCCACACUGGGACUGAGACACGGCCCAGACUCCUACGGGAGGCAGCAGUGGGGAAUUUUGGACAAUGGGGGCAACCCUGAUCCAGCCAUUCCGCGUGAGUGAAGAAGGCC